AGAAGUUAUAAUACUACCAGCAGAAUAAUAAAAGUUUGUGUAACAUCCAAAUAAUCUGUAAAAACAACAUUACGUACUAAAGGAAAAGAAAACAACUGCAAAGUAAACAAUGACACAUAAAGAUUAAAGUAAGAGAUGAGGUCGUGUAAAUAGAAUAAAGCAGAGCAAGAAUGUUCCUAUCAGAUGGAGUUAAAAUCAGGUCAAAGGGCAAUAAAGGAAAAAGAAGUGUUGUGUUUCUUUUUGUUGUUUAUAAAAGAAUCACUGAGCAAUAACGAUAAUGACAUGAUAAAAUGUUAUGUGCCAAAUGGCAUCACAAUGAAAUAUAUAAAGCAAGAAUAGUUAAAAGCACAAUGGGAAAUUUACAAUCCUAGAGUAAGUGUUUAAAAACCGCAAAUAAGUCAGAUAGCCAAAAUUUCAGAGAUACAUUAUAAGAUGUAGAACUUUCUCUACUUCAAACAGAGACUAUUCAACAAAUAGCCAUGGAACAGUUAUAAAAGUUUAUCACUAUAUUUUUAAGUGAACUAUGUGAAUAUAAAAAGUACAUGAAUUGCAUAUUUGUUAUCAUGAAAAUUAUGAAAAAAAACACACCACACUUGUAAAUCCUUUGCUAAGAAAUAGAACAUUACCCAGAAGCUCCGUUUUCUCCUAUUAUUUUCCCCAUUAUUUAUUCCAAAUAAUUGUUUUUCCUGAAUUCUGCUUAUUAUUCUCUUGCUUAUCUGAACAGUUUUAUCAAAUAUGUAUAUAUCCUUCACAAUUGUGAACAUAGACCCCUAUGGUAAGAAGUCUUCUGCAAUUUGCUCUUCAUUGUGUUUUUGAGAUUCUUUGAGGUAAAUUUUAAUAGCUGCAUCUUAUUCAUUGGCAUUUGAAUAAUAGUCUGUUGUGAAUGUGUCAUAGUUUAUUAGCCAUUCUUCUGGCCAGUUUUAUUGCAGUUGUUGGGCCUAUGUUUUUUCCAGUUUUCACCAGAUCUGCUUUGAGUAUCCUCACACAUGUCAACUGGCUCAUGUACACAAGUUCUCUGUGGUGGUGCCUUUCGAACUCUAGAGUCCAACUUGUUGGAAGGAGAAAUGACUUACUUGAAUGGUGAGUGCUGAAGAGGAUGCUGGGCCUGCCGGAUCUCUUGGGAACCAGGCUGUGCUCAGAUAUAAGCCUCCUCAGCUUCUCCACAGAAUAAUAUCACAGAGACCACCUCCAGGCUUCAUCCAGGCCAAUGACCAGGGGGCAAAAUUGUUAAAUUCAGGUGAUUAAGCUCAUUUGGUUAUCUAGUCCACAUCAUCCAAUUCAGUGCAGACACUGCCACUGCUAUCACCAUCCAACAGCCAUACAGCCAUGGGACUCUAUAAAUAUGGAUUCUGGGAGAACAAAGAAUGCACUGGGUUUUGAGCUCUGAAAAACCUUUAUAAAGAUAUCUCAAAUGCAGAUUUAAAAGCCAUGGCUCUUCAG